AUCAGCAUCAACGCAUCAACUAUGUCAAAAAAUGGUCCCAAAGUUCUGCCUCCCUGCCUCUGGCAAAUAAAUCCAAUAAAUGAGAAGGAUGGGGACACCUUCUUUGUAUUACUAAAUGUCUGCCAGCUGAGGUGCAUAGGGCUAUGCAAACCAGUUUUCCAUCUCGCUGUACACUGUGUUUGUUCUUUGCAGUGAGAUUGAAUCUAGUCGUCUUUGACUAUGAUGCUAGGCAACAUAGCAAGUCAAAUAUAUAUGUGAAAGCUAGCUAGACUUUGACAAACUUGGCCUCCUAGAAGUGCACAGCAAAAAACUUUUUAUGGUGCCAGGAUUCAGCUGGGCACCUAGAACACAAACUGUGAGAAACCUUUUUCUCAUGUUUUAGUUGUUAUAUUGGACGUCUUUCUGCUGUAAUUUUCUUCUAAAGAAGACUUACAACCUCCUAAAUAUUUCCUGUCAGGUGUUGGCUAGGUGAAAUGCAUCCUCGGGAAUUGCAGCUGGAGGAAUCAUAACAUCCCACAUACAGAGCAGUCCAAAUUUCUGCCAAACUCUUCACUGUGUCUUUAACUCAAACUGCUUGCACUCUUUGUGAUUGAUGCUUGCGGCAAAAGGCAGACCUAACCUAAGAAAGCCUUCUGCAUCAUGGCUCUGCCUUCCUUCAAACAAAAACUUAUGUCUAAUUUAACAGCCUGCCCCAGGAACUCCACACAAACCUAACACAGACAGCCUUUGCGUGAGAUGAUAAUUGCUCUUCCUCCAUGUUUUCACUGUGUAGUUGGUGUUUGUGCCUUGGUUGCUGUGGGUUGCUUAAUUUAGACUAUCAUCUCAGGAACCUGUCAACCUGCACCUGAGUAAUUACAUUGAUUUUUUGGGGGAGUAUGAAAGUAAAUUAAACCUGAACAAAACUUACUCUUUGGUGAAGAAACCUUUGCCAACUUUAACAGGAUAAAAUUCUGCCAGCAUGCAAUAUUUUAUUGGACUGUAGUGAAAUACUUCGGAGAGAGAUUUCCAGUUCAUAAACCACUUACAAAAUGCCAAUUGACCUUAGUUUUGCGGACCAUUAUCAUUUUUCUUUUUGCAAACCACGUUCCAGUUGUUCUGCAGAUUCCUUGCACCAAGAACAAGAAGACCAAGUUUGUGUUGAAGCGCUGGACCUUGUGGCAGGUACAUGAGAUUUCUGAAAAUGCGAAGUCUGAUUCAGGCCAACAUUUCUAAAGCCAUGACUUCCAGUGAAGGAGGACUGUGUACUUCCUCUGAAAGAGGAAGUCGGCAAACCCUUACAAUAAAAGUAAUGUUCGUUUUCCAGUUCAGAUUCUUUUUUUGUUGUGACCUUUGCCAGAUCUUAGAUUGUAAGUAGAGGAGUAGAACAUAUUUUCUAAUUAAUCCAAAUUGAAUACAUUCAUCAUGCUCUGUAAAUCAUAAUGCAAUUCUGCUCUUUAUCCUUUUUCGUUGGUGCUCUUGUUAUGUAGGUAUGAUUGAGAGUUGCUGGUCUGAUCUGGAAGUGACUUGGCAAAAUGCCACCCGCUUGUCACUCUCUGAUUUAUGGACCAGCAGAAGGGUACAAGCUUUGGUGAAACAUGCAGCCUGUAGAUGAAACCAAAGUUAGGCAAACAAGGGGUCUUCAUGAAAGAAAGCCUCUCUUCCCUAUUGCUGAAUGUAGAAGGUGAACUGCCCAGGUGAGGAGAUAAAUCAGAACUGAGUACAGAGAUGACAUUUCAUAUUGCCUGGUGGAAUUUAGGUAUCUUCCUAAAACACCAGCCUUUUGGUUCAUUUUGCUGAAGAAAUGGAAACCAGCCCCAUUAUUGGGGCAAUGCAUGGCCAAGGCCAGAGCUGAGAUUUGAGACCUUUCUGUGUUCUUUGAUGUUUGAAAACUAAGGUGGCAAUAACAAAACCAUCCAACUAUGUAAAAAAUGGGCAGUGUGAGGGAAUACUGAAGCCCAAGUGAAACCAAAUGGAAAACAAUGUCUGGAGACAGGAGCCAUCCUCUGUCCAUGGCUCGCUUGGGUGCCUGUAUUGCCAGGCCUCUUCCAGUCCCCAGGACAGACCUAAUAUGAUUAGAUCAGAGCAUCCCCUAAUUCACAAAAUAUGCUUACUGCAAGACACUUGUUUCCAGUUGGGAUUUUUUUUUUUUUUUUUAUGUUGUAGUUUUGAGACUGCCUUGGAAUAUUUUAUAUAACAUCAGCCACUGUGCAGAUUUGUGUAUUGUACUGUAAUUACUUAAAUAGGGGAUUUUGUAUGCUACAGCCAGUGAUUCAUGAACUGCAGGGUAUCUGCAAAAACAGGCUUUCAUUGGGAUUAUGGGAUGUAAAAUGCCUGAAGGUUUUUGCCUUUGAUAGCAGACCUGCCAUUGCAUCCACACAGGGUUUGUCUAAUAAAUUGUAUUAGUGCUUUCCAGCAUCCCGAUAAAUUCCCUCCCCCAACUCCUUGCUAUUCUGAAGUGUUUUGAAAGAAAACUGGUUCUCUGUGAAUUAUUGCUGUGGCAAUCAUUAAAGCAUAUGUUCAGAAUGCUUGUUGUUGACCAUGCAGUAUAACAGAGAAGGAAGUUGAAAAGGUUCUUCAGGAAGGACUUAAUAUUGUGAUAUUUGCAAUUACAUGAUUUCUAUCUGGAAAUAAGGGAGUUGUGGAGGGUGUGAGGAAAAGACCACAGCUGGAUGUUCUCAAUGUCUUCAAGGGCAUGUAGUUGCUCAUCUUCCAUCAGUUUAAGGUUAUGCAGCUAAAUCCCCUACCUGUUUUUGGAAAUAGUCUCAGCCCCAGAAGAAGAUGGAGCUACUGUUUGAUUUAAGGCAUUGUCUAACUUGGCAUGUCAAAUUAUUUCAAGCCCACAAGAAGGAGGAGGGCACGCUGAUGACAGCGUGUUCAUGCCUGCGUAUCCAGCCAAUGUGUUAGACUAGGAAUCCUUGCAGACACAGGUAAGUCUGAAGCUUUUUCCUUCUGCGAGAUCCAGCGGGAACUGGGCAAGGGGAAUCAUAAAUAUAUGAUAAUGCCUUGCUGCCUGUUAAAACCCUCUAAUUCAUCCAGGGGAUAGCAGGUUUCUAGUGAAAUUUCCUUGCUUGCUUUUCCAUCUGCCCAUUUCUAAAUGUCUGCAGGUUUUGUGCCACAAAGACAGAAACAGUUGUUUUGUAGUUGCUUGUGAGUUUUAGUUGUAGCAGGCACAGUAUUUCAGACAUGCCAACGCUUGUUUUUGUGUUGGGAUCCACAUGGCUGCAUUUUCUUUCCAGGGGUUGGGAAAGAUCAUUUUCUUAGUCAUAUUUCUCUCAGAUCUAGAGCUGUGCAGAUAAAAAACAGAACCAAAAAAACCUUACUGCUACUAGCUCCCUUCCUUCUGAAGCCAUCACAGCUCAGGUAAGGAAGUUCAGUAGACGGCACAUACAAGUCAAGGUAAGUGAAAUUAAAGUGAGUGUUUGGUGCCCGUAAGAUUCUUCACUGACUUUUAUUCCCAUGCAUAAGGGUAACGUCAGCCAUCAGCAGCAAGAAAAUCCAAGGCCUCCCAAUCUCCAUCCUUGUUCACUUUUGGCUGUGCCUGUUUCAAGCUGCCUGGUGUGCAGCAGGUUGCUUGCUAUUUUAAAAACUCACUAAAAAUAUGAGGGCAGCAAGCAGCGCGUAGCUGUGUAUAUACUGUGUAUAUAGACAGAGCUGUAUGUUCUUGGCUGAAAUCCUCUGUUCAGGAAGGUUCUUUGGGGGGUUAGGUGCUUUGUAAAGGUUUGGGUUUGUUUUUAAAGCCCUGCAUACUGCCACUCGCGCUACUCUCAGCUCUAUUUUACAGCAUUUGGUCAUGCAAAGCGAUGCUCCCAAACAGGGCAUCGGAGGAGACUCAGCCCAGCAAAGCUGCAGGUAGAGCAGAACUUGCUGCCACUGUUUUCCAUAUGUUCCCCUCUAUGGGGGCCUGACUGGACCUCGACCUGAGGAGGAAGCAGAACGGAAACUUAAUGGAGAAGCAUGUCCUGCCCCCAGUUAUCAGAGCUUCAUUUGAGACAGUCUUGAACUGAAAUCUUGGAAUCCAAAUUCCUUGAUAUACAAAAAGGUUUAGCUGUCUGUGAAUCCAAGUACUGAGAUGUAGGAAACUACCUCAAAUUUCAAGCGAGGAAAGAAAUUUGGAUACUCUGGACAGAGGACACAAAGGCGUGAAUCAGAAUGGAGUCUCUCCAGAGAUUUCGCAAGAAUCAUGUUGAGAGCUAGAAACUGAGAGCUGUAUUCCUGUUGCCUGCUAUGAAACAUGGGAGCAAUGACAGCACAUCAGGUCGAGAGACUGUUAGGCACGUGGAGAAGUCAGCCCUGCCUGCUCGAUGCCUUGUGGCUGCUGCUCAGCAAAGUGUUAUCACAGGUACCUGCACUUCACCAGUGGCAGGCAGAAUUCUGGUGAUGAUCUAGGCUGAUUUAUGCAUCUGGGCACACCUCGCUAGCCUCCACCAUGACCUCUGUGUCUAGAGAGUGGUGGCAGAACUGGAGUGUAAGAGGCCAGCUAGGUUUUAAAUAAAGACCCUCUCCAUAUGAAUUCAAACGUACUCAGAGGAGGACAUAAUAUGGAAGUCAUGUAGCACUUUCUUUUUUUGCUUUGGGAGAGUCUUUUUUAUGGCUUCCCUUACUAGUAUAUGAAGAUCCAUACUGUGGCACUGCAGUAAAGGAUUCCCAUCCCAAACUGGGCAUAUAAACUCAACAGAAGUCCACUACCUGAA